rnacentral:rRNA from 1 species
CGAUGAAGGACGGGACUAACGCCGAUAUGCUUCGGGGAGCUGUAAGUAAGCUUUGAUCCGAAGAUUUCCGAAUGGGGAAACCCACCAUACGUAAUGGUAUGGUAUCCUUAUCUGAAUACAUAGGGUAAGGAAGACAGACCCAGGGAACUGAAACAUCUAAGUACCUGGAGGAAGAGAAAGCAAAUGCGAUUUCCUGAGUAGCGGCGAGCGAAACGGAACAUAGCCCAAACCAAGAGGCUUGCCUCUUGGGGUUGUAGGACAUUCUAUACGGAGUUACAAAGGAACGAGGUAGACGAAGCGACCUGGAAAGGUCCGUCGUAGAGGGUAACAACCCCGUAGUCGAAACUUCGUUCUCUCUUGAAUGUAUCCUGAGUACGGCGGAACACGUGAAAUUCCGUCGGAAUCUGGGAGGACCAUCUCCCAAGGCUAAAUACUCCCUAGUGAUCGAUAGUGAACCAGUACCGUGAGGGAAAGGUGAAAAGCACCCCGGAAGGGGAGUGAAAGAGAUCCUGAAACCGUGUGCCUACAAAUAGUCAGAGCCCGUUAACGGGUGAUGGCGUGCCUUUUGUAGAAUGAACCGGCGAGUUACGAUCCCGUGCGAGGUUAAGCUGAAGAGGCGGAGCCGCAGCGAAAGCGAGUCUGAAUAGGGCGUUUAGUACGUGGUCGUAGACCCGAAACCAGGUGAUCUACCCAUGUCCAGGGUGAAGUUCAGGUAACACUGAAUGGAGGCCCGAACCCACGCACGUUGAAAAGUGCGGGGAUGAGGUGUGGGUAGCGGAGAAAUUCCAAUCGAACCUGGAGAUAGCUGGUUCUCCCCGAAAUAGCUUUAGGGCUAGCCUUAAGUGUAAGAGUCUUGGAGGUAGAGCACUGAUUGGACUAGGGGUCCUCAUCGGAUUACCGAAUUCAGUCAAACUCCGAAUGCCAAUGACUUAUCCUUAGGAGUCAGACUGCGAGUGAUAAGAUCCGUAGUCAAAAGGGAAACAGCCCAGACCGCCAGCUAAGGUCCCAAAGUGUGUAUUAAGUGGAAAAGGAUGUGGAGUUGCUUAGACAACUAGGAUGUUGGCUUAGAAGCAGCCACCAUUUAAAGAGUGCGUAAUAGCUCACUAGUCGAGUGACUCUGCGCCGAAAAUGUACCGGGGCUAAAUACACCACCGAAGCUGCGGAUUGAUACCAAUGGUAUCAGUGGUAGGGGAGCGUUCUAAGGACAGUGAAGUCAGACCGGAAGGACUGGUGGAGUGCUUAGAAGUGAGAAUGCCGGUAUGAGUAGCGAAAGACGGGUGAGAAUCCCGUCCACCGAAUGCCUAAGGUUUCCUGAGGAAGGCUCGUCCGCUCAGGGUUAGUCAGGACCUAAGCCGAGGCCGACAGGCGUAGGCGAUGGACAACAGGUUGAUAUUCCUGUACCACCUCUUUAUCGUUUGAGCAAUGGAGGGACGCAGAAGGAUAGAAGAAGCGUGCGAUUGGUUGUGCACGUCCAAGCAGUUAGGCUGAUAAGUAGGCAAAUCCGCUUAUCGUAAAGGCUGAGCUGUGAUGGGGAAGCUCCUUAUGGAGCGAAGUCUUUGAUUCCCCGCUGCCAAGAAAAGCUUCUAGCGAGAUAAAAGGUGCCUGUACCGCAAACCGACACAGGUAGGCGAGGAGAGAAUCCUAAGGUGUGCGAGAGAACUCUGGUUAAGGAACUCGGCAAAAUGACCCCGUAACUUCGGGAGAAGGGGUGCUUUCUUAACGGAAAGCCGCAGUGAAUAGGCCCAAGCGACUGUUUAGCAAAAACACAGCUCUCUGCGAAGCCGUAAGGCGAAGUAUAGGGGGUGACACCUGCCCGGUGCUGGAAGGUUAAGGAGAGGGGUUAGCGUAAGCGAAGCUCUGAACUGAAGCCCCAGUAAACGGCGGCCGUAACUAUAACGGUCCUAAGGUAGCGAAAUUCCUUGUCGGGUAAGUUCCGACCCGCACGAAAGGUGUAACGAUUUGGGCACUGUCUCAACCAGAGACUCGGUGAAAUUAUAGUACCUGUGAAGAUGCAGGUUACCCGCGACAGGACGGAAAGACCCCGUGGAGCUUUACUGUAGCCUGAUAUUGAAUUUUGGUACAGUUUGUACAGGAUAGGCGGGAGCCAUUGAAACCGGAGCGCUAGCUUCGGUGGAGGCGCUGGUGGGAUACCGCCCUGACUGUAUUGAAAUUCUAACCUACGGGUCUUAUCGACCCGGGAGACAGUGUCAGGUGGGCAGUUUGACUGGGGCGGUCGCCUCCUAAAGUGUAACGGAGGCGCCCAAAGGUUCCCUCAGAAUGGUUGGAAAUCAUUCGUAGAGUGCAAAGGCAUAAGGGAGCUUGACUGCGAGACCUACAAGUCGAGCAGGGACGAAAGUCGGGCUUAGUGAUCCGGUGGUUCCGCAUGGAAGGGCCAUCGCUCAACGGAUAAAAGCUACCCCGGGGAUAACAGGCUUAUCUCCCCCAAGAGUCCACAUCGACGGGGAGGUUUGGCACCUCGAUGUCGGCUCAUCGCAUCCUGGGGCUGUAGUCGGUCCCAAGGGUUGGGCUGUUCGCCCAUUAAAGCGGUACGCGAGCUGGGUUCAGAACGUCGUGAGACAGUUCGGUCCCUAUCCGUCGUGGGCGUAGGAAAUUUGAGAGGAGCUGUCCUUAGUACGAGAGGACCGGGAUGGACGCACCGCUGGUGUACCAGUUGUUCUGCCAAGGGCAUAGCUGGGUAGCUAUGUGCGGAAGGGAUAAGUGCUGAAAGCAUCUAAGCAUGAAGCCCCCCUCAAGAUGAGAUUUCCCAUAGCGUAAGCUAGUAAGAUCCCUGAAAGAUGAUCAGGUUGAUAGGUUCGAGGUGGAAGCAUGGUGACAUGUGGAGCUGACGAAUACUAAUAGAUCGAGGACUUAACCAU